UUGAACGCUGGCGGCAUGCUUUGCACAUGCAAGUCGAACGGUAGAGGCUUCGGCCUUGAGAGUGGCGAACGGGUGAGUAAUGCAUCGGAACAUACCCAGUCGUGGGGGAUAACGUAGCGAAAGUUACGUUAAUACCGCAUACGUCCUGAGGGAGAAAGCGGGGGAUCUUCGGACCUCGCGCGAUUGGAGUGGCCGAUGUCCGAUUCGCUAGUUGGUGGGGUAAAGGCCCACCAAGGCGACGAUCUGUAGCGGGUCUGAGAGGAUGAUCAGCCACACUGGGACUGAGACACGGCCCAGACUCCUACGGGAGGCAGCAGUGGGGAAUUUUGGACAAUGGGCGCAAGCCUGAUCCAGCCAUGCCGCGUGCAGGAAGAAGGCCUGCGGGUUGUAAACUGCUUUCGGACGGAAAGAAAUCGCCGCUUCUAAUACGAGCGGUGGAUGACGGUACCGUAAGAAGAAGCACCGGCUAACUACGU
rnacentral:rRNA from 1 species